ensembl:snRNA U1 U1 spliceosomal RNA
AUUUUAAUGUGAUGGAGGAGAUAACAUUACCCGAAAGGUGGUUUUCCCAGGCUGAGGCAUAUGCACUGCUCUCUGGAUAUGCCAAACCCUGCAAUUCAUCCAAAUCUGGGAAAGUCAAUUGCGUAACUUGUGGGAGUGGAAGGACUGUUUCCACCAUCCCCUUCGA